UACGGAGGGGGCUAGCGUUAAUCGGAAUUACUGGGCGUAAAGCGUGCGUAGACGGUUAUUUAAGUCGGGUGUGAAAUCCCCGGGCUCAACCUGGGAACUGCAUCCGAAACUGCCUUGCUAGAGUAUGGGAGAGGGAAGUGGAAUUUCCGGUGUAGCGGUGAAAUGCGUAGAUAUCGGAAGGAACAUCAGUGGCGAAGGCGACUUCCUGGACCAAUACUGACGCUCAGGUGCGAAAGCGUGGGGAGCAAACAGG
rnacentral:rRNA from 1 species